rnacentral:rRNA from 1 species
CACGUAGGGUGCAAGCGUUGUCCGGAAUUAUUGGGCGUAAAGAGCUCGUAGGCGGUUCGUCGCGUCGGCUGUGAAAUCCCGAGGCUCAACCUCGGGUCUGCAGUCGAUACGGGCGGACUGGAGUUCGGCAGGGGAGACUGGAAUUCCUGGUGUAGCGGUGAAAUGCGCAGAUAUCAGGAGGAACACCGGUGGCGAAGGCGGGUCUCUGGGCCGAUGACUGACGCUGAGACGCGAAAGCGUGGGGAGCAAACAGG